rnacentral:lncRNA from 1 species
UUCAACCACAACAAAUUUGUUACCAUGGAUACGAAUAUUAGCAAUCUAUUGAUCACGGGGAUUGCUACUCCCAAAUUUAAUGCAACCAAUGCUUCUAAUUAACGUGGCUACCAUUCUGAUGAUCAGUAGAAUAUUGGGACGGAACUGUAAGAAAACAUGUCGAUAACAGAAGCAUUUGUUAUUUAAUUUGUAAACUGUACGUACCUCAUCCUUGGGCAAUGUACUGGCACCAGUAAUGGUGAUGUCUUGUUUCUUUCCGGUGCCUUUGUCACUCGCACUCACGGAUAGGAUUCCAUUGGCAUCGAUGUCAAAUUUGACUUCGAUUUGUGGAACUCCACGUGGUGCCGGAGGGAUACCAUCUAAACGGAAGCUGCCAAGAGACUUGUUAUCCCGGACAAACUCCCUCUCACCCUGCAGCACAUUAAUCUCAACACUUGUCUGUCCAUCAGCAGCAGUCGAGAAGACUUCUGACUUGGAAGUAGGCAGUGUAGAGUUCCUUGGAAUAAUCUUAGUCAUCACACCACCAAGAGUUUCCAAACCAAUCGAAAGUGGUGUCACAUCGAGAAGCACAAUGUCACUCACAUCUCCAGCCAGAACACCAGCCUGUAAUCAAAAGAGAAAGGCGCUUGAUGAGAAAUCAUUUCAGUAGAUAGGUGACACUUACAAGUUCACGAGAACAUACCUGGACUGCAGCACCUAGGGCAACAACCUCAUCAGGAUUUACUGUCACAUUGGGUUCUUUCCCAGUCAGCUUCCUGACGACUUCCUGAACAGCAGGAAUACGUGUGGAUCCACCAACAAGGAUUACUUCAUCAAUAUCUUUGAAACUGAGCUUUGCAUCUCUCAGGGAAUUCUCAACGGGAGUCUUACACCUAUGAGACAGAUACAUGGAAAAGAAUCCUGAGCCUACAUGAUUACUUCUCGGGCUAUUAAUAUAUUAGCCAUAAGAACCGUAACGAAAAUUACCUGUCAAGUAAAUCUGAACACAAUUCUUCGAACUUGGCACGUGUCAGGGUGGUUUCUAUGUGUUUAGGUCCAUCAGCUGUGGCCGUGAUAAAUGGUAAGCUGAGCACAGAAUUCAUAUCAAUCAGAAUCCAUACGCUUGUGAAAGUACUAAGUCAAAAAUUUUGCGAGAAAAUUAAUUGUACCUCAUAUUUGUCUGAGUCAGGGAGGAAAGCUCAAUUUUAGCUUUUUCCGCUGCCUCUGUCAAUCUCUGAAGUGCUUGCUUAUCUUUCAGAAGAUCAAUGCCUUCAUCUUUCUUGAAAUUUGAAGCAAGCCAAUCAACAACUCUCUGCAUUCCAAAUUUGAAUUUAUUAAGUAAAGCAUCGAAGAGAGAGUAAACAGAUUCAAAGCUCUUUGACAAAGGGCGUCACGAUCAAUGUCUGCAUUUGACUAACCUUGUCAAAGUCAUCUCCACCCAAAUGGGUGUCUCCAGAGGUGGAAAGCACUUCAAACACACCAUCACCAACCUCAAGCACUGCAUAAUAAGAUACAUAACAGAACGCAUAUUACAAGGUGCUAAUACAUCUUGUUGAUGGUAGAAGCACAAAAUAACAAUAUUCCCAAAGAAGAUAUAUAGAGCAUUUUGGCAAAACUUUAUUGUCAAGUACCUGAGACAUCAAAGGUACCACCACCAAGAUCAAAGACUAGAAUUGUUUCGUUGCUUUUUCUCUCAAAUCCAUAAGCCAAUGAAGCAGCAGUGGGCUCAUUAAUAAUACGAAGAACUUCCAGCCCAGCAAUGCGACCAGCAUCUUUCGUAGCUGUCCUCUGUGAGUCGUUGAAGUAAGCAGGUACAGUGACGACAGCCUUGGUUACUUUUUCGUUCAAAAAUCUUGAAGCAUCAUCCACGAGUUUCCUCAGAACCUACACCAAAGGAAAACCCCACAAACACGAUUAACUCUCAAUCGGAAAAACCAGAAUGACAAGCUGAAGAUGACAAACACAAGAGAGAGAAGAAUUUCAAAGAAAGUGCAGAUACCAGCAACAGAAAGUGAGAGACAGGAUUCAUUAAAAUUUUCAGAACCUUAUUUUACAGUGUGAGGAAAAAUCUUUAAUUUAGUUCACGAAAUCACUACCCACUAUAGAGCGUGUACCCAUUAUCCAAAAUUGUUUCAAAUAAGAACCGCACAUUCAACACCCACAAGUUGAGCUCAUACAAAGCUCAAAACAGCUAAACACUCAAAAGCUACAUCGAUUAAUAAACGGGAGAAGUGAGUAAAUUGAUAAACUUCAAUACCUGAGCUGAGAUUUCCUCAGCAGCAAAUUGUUUGCCAAUGGCAGGACACUCCAGCUUGACAUUUCCGUUCUCAUCCCUAACAACUCGGUAUGAAACCUGCUUAGCCUCCUCAUCUACCUCGUUCAUCCUCCUACCAAUAAACCUCUUUACCGAGAAGAAAGUGUUCUCAGGAUUAACAACGGCUUGCCGCUUCGCAAUCUGCCCGACAAGCCGGUCACCGCUCUUCGUGUACGCCACCACAGACGGCGUCGUCCUCUGACCCUCAGCGUUCGUCACAAUCGUAGGCUUGCCUCCUUCCAUGGCAGCUACGGCGGAGUUAGUCGUACCCAAAUCGAUUCCAACGACCUUCUCGUUAACCACGCGCACGGGACCAACUGCGUACCUUGAGCCAUUUCUGCUAUUCAUUUUGAGGAAGGCAGAAGUAGGAGUGGAGAAAGGGCCCGUUCUUGUGCCGAAGAAGGCGCUUCUUGGCAUGAAGCUACCUUUACCAUUGAGAUUCCUCUUGGAAGAAGAAGUGGCGAAUCCAAUUCCGCCGAGAACGUGAAUUUGGGCGGAGGAUGAAGCCAUUUUUUAAGCUUAAUAGUAGAUUAAUAAUAAUAAUGAAGGAAGCACGAGAGAAGCAAAGGCAACGACGUAAGUGGACAGAGGGAGAAAUGAGAAAGAGGGUUUGAACUUUGAAAGAGAAACCCUAGGGUAGGUGAGGAGGAGGAAGAUACAUAGAAGAAGAUAAGAGAAUGGUGGAGACGGUAGAGAAUAGUGUGGCAACCAGUAGAAGUUUCCAGAAGGGGGCUUAAUUUGGAUGGAUCCUUAAUGGGCUUUUUAUAAAAGCCUAAAUCCCUCUUAUAUGGCCUUGAUUGUUUUCAGAUUCUAUGCUGGUUUUUUGUUAUUAAAAAAGUAUAUUUUUUUACUGAACUAGUUUCCUAUAGUGAAACUUUUUAGUCAGUGGUCAGGGUUAAAUGUUUUUAUUACCCAGCUUAUUAGAAUUCGAUUUCUUUCUUUUGUUGUUCUUUUUUUUAAUAAAAAAAAAUCGAAUUCUAUGUUAUGGGGAUUGGGGAGAGUUGUUCUAGUGGAAUUCGUUAUUCAUGAAUGCAUGUGUUGUAUGGUUAUUCGUGAUUGCAUGUGCUGUAUCAAAUGUAAUUUUAUGAGGAUAGAACAAAGUGAGAGAACUGCAACAUAUUAUUAUGCAGUAUAAAAUUCUCUGUGACAGCAUUGCUGCUUUCUAACGAAAAAUAAUCGUUGUACACAAGCAUUGCUCAAUUCAUAUGUGUUUCAACACAAUCAAGCCUACAAAAUCAUGCGUUUUACAUCGGAUGCAUGAAUUCACAACCGUCCUAGUUUGUUUUCUCAUUUGCUGUCUGUGAAGUCAGCAUCAAUCACAUCAUCUCCACCUUUACUUGAUGAAUCUGCUGAUGAAGCAUCUUCACCUCCAGGGUUAGGACCUGGACCUGCUGCUCCUGCUCCAGCUCCUGGCUGGUUGUACAUAGACUGGCCAAUCUGCAUCACUUCUUGGUUUAGAGCAGCCAUUGUAUCUUUGAUUUCUUGAGUCGUUCCGCUUCCUAUCUUGUCUUUCAGCUCUUGUAGCUUAGCCUCCACCUUCUCUUUCACUUCACCUGGGAUUUUCUCUCCAAGUUCUUUAAGUUGCUUCUCUGUCUGGUACACCACCGAAUCUGCUUGGUUCUUCGUGUCAAUGGCGUCUCUCUUCUCCUUGUCAUCCUUUGCAAACCUUUCUGCUUCUUGGACCAUUU